GACGAACGCUGGCGGCGUGCUUAACACAUGCAAGUCGAACGGAAAGGCCCUGCUUUUGUGUGGUUCUCGAUUGGCGAACGGGUGAGUAACACGUGAGUAACCUGCCCUUGACUUUGGGAUAACUUCAGGAAACAGGGGCUAAUACCGGAUAGGAGCUCCUGCUGCAUGGUGGGGGUUGGAAAGUUUCGGCGGUUGGGGAUGGACUCGCGGCUUAUCAGCUUGUUGGUGGGGUAGUGGCUUACCAAGGCUUUGACGGGUAGCCGGCCUGAGAGGUUGACCGGCCACAUUGGGACUGAGAGACGGCGCAGAAUCCUACGGGAGGCAGCAGUGGGGAAUAUUGCGCAACGGGCGGAAGCCUGAGGCAGCAACGCCGCGUGCGGGAUGACGGCCUUCGGGUGGUAAACCGCUUUCGCCUGUGACGAAGCGUGAGUGACGGUAAUGGGUAAAGAAGCACCGGCUAACUACGUG
rnacentral:rRNA from 1 species